rnacentral:rRNA from 1 species
GAUGAACGCUGGCGGCGUGCCUAAUACAUGCAAGUCGAGCGAACAGAUGAGGAGCUUGCUCCUCUGACGUUAGCGGCGGACGGGUGAGUAACACGUGGAUAACCUACCUAUAAGACUGGGAUAACUUCGGGAAACCGGAGCUAAUACCGGAUAAUAUAUUGAACCGCAUGGUUCAAUAGUGAAAGACGGUUUUGCUGUCACUUAUAGAUGGAUCCGCGCCGCAUUUGCUAGUUGGUAAGGUAACGGCUUACCAAGGCAACGAUGCGUAGCCGACCUGAGAGGGUGAUCGGCCACACUGGAACUGAGACACGGUCCAGACUCCUACGGGAGGCAGCAGUAGGGAAUCUUCCGCAAUGGGCGAAAGCCUGACGGAGCAACGCCGCGUGAGUGAUGAAGGUCUUCGGAUCGUAAAACUCUGUUAUUAGGGAAGAACAAAUGUGUAAGUAACUAUGCACGUCUUGACGGUACCUAAUCAGAAAGCCACGGCUAACUACGUG